UUUAGCACUUUAUCUUAAUAGAGAACAAUUUAAAUUGAUAAUUUAAAUUAAAAAUUAAGA
rnacentral:tRNA from 1 species